GGCGGACGAUUGAGGAGAAGUU
rnacentral:miRNA from 1 species